CAUUAGCAUUCCGUAAUUAAUUAUGCAUAUUUAUUUAAUUUGUACAAAAGACCGUAUUAUUAUUUAUUUAAACUUUAAAUCUAUGAUAGGAAAUAGGGUGAUGGGUCCUUACUUAAUUUGACACCGAAAAGCUAAAUGGUUUACUGCGUAUACGGGCAAUCCCUUGAUUCUCUAAAUUUUUAUUUAGGAACUGAAAUGCGCUUAUGGUACCUACAAAUGUCCCAAAUAACCC
rnacentral:lncRNA from 1 species